GAUGAACGCUGGCGGCGUGCCUAAUACAUGCAAGUCGAGCGAACAGAUGAGGAGCUUGCUCCUCUGACGUUAGCGGCGGACGGGUGAGUAACACGUGGAUAACCUACCUAUAAGACUGGGAUAACUUCGGGAAGCCGGAGCUAAUACCGGAUAAUAUAUUGAACCGCAUGGUUCAAUAGUGAAAGACGGUUUUGCUGUCACUUAUAGAUGGAUCCGCGCCGCAUUAGCUAGUUGGUAAGGUAACGGCUUACCAAGGCAACGAUGCGUAGCCGACCCGAGAGGGUGAUCGGCCACACUGGAACUGAGACACGGUCCAGACUCCUACGGGAGGCGGCAGUAGGGAAUCUUCCGCAAUGGGCGAAAGCCUGACGGAGCAACGCCGCGUGAGUGAUGAAGGUCUUCGGAUCGUAAAGCUCUGUUAUUAGGGAAGAACAAAUGUGUAAGUAACUAUGCACGUCUUGACGGUACCUAAUCAGAAAGCCACGGCUAACUACGUG
rnacentral:rRNA from 1 species